GACGAACGCUGGCGGCGUGCUUAACACAUGCAAGUCGAGCGGUAAGGCCCUUUCGGGGGUACACGAGCGGCGAACGGGUGAGUAACACGUGGGUGACCUGCCCUCAGCUCUGGGAUAAGCCCGGGAAACUGGGUCUAAUACUGGAUAUGACUCCACGGUGCAUGCCGUGGGGUGGAAAGCCUUGUGCGGCUGAGGAUGGGCCCGCGGCCUAUCAGCUUGUUGGUGGGGUGANGGCCUACCAAGGCGACGACGGGUAGCCGGCCUGAGAGGGCGACC
rnacentral:rRNA from 1 species